GGCCCGACAACUUCAGUGGAAUCAACUAGGUGUGCUGCUUUUCCAAAGAAGGUGUUAACUCCAGUUGCUAUGACCACAGCUUCAAUUUCACCAUGCUUACAUGUUGAACCAGAAAAUACUUCAUNNNNNNNNNNNUGACAGGGAGAGAUUCUCCAGUAAGAGCUGACUGGUCAAUUUUUAGUGGAUCUCCGUUGAGCAAUCGAGCAUCUGCAGGUAUGAUAUCUCCAAGCUUUAUGCUAAUU
rnacentral:misc_RNA from 1 species